rnacentral:lncRNA from 1 species
UCUCGAGAGCCCCACGCCGACGCCGACUUCAAAUCCGCCAACGAAAAAUCUGGAUUUGUUUCCUCCGCUUGAUUCUUCUCCUCAUAUGGGUUUGUUUCCUCUGCUCGAUUCUUCUCCUCAUCUAGGUUUGUUCCUAUUUCGAUCUUCUGAAACGGAGGACGUAGCAGCUCACAAAUCAACUCCUUUCUCCCUCCGACGCGACCACUCAGGCCAUCGCCUCCGCUCGAUUCCCUGCAUCCUCGCACGUUUUUCCCCUGCUUGUGGGUAGUGAGGUUCGGGCAACCUUUGGAGGCCUGCGCUUUCUCUCUUUAAGCCUUCUUGGGUCGUCAGGACGGAGGCAAGUUCCUCUUUUUGUCUAUCGAGGUGACCCUCUUUGUAUGACGCGUUCCACCUUCCUGCCCUAAAUUCGCACUAAUUCUGGCAUUUCAUGGUUGUGAUGGUCGCAAUCGAACGUGCACAGGGAGGCUUGAAAGAAGCUGGAACUCCUUGCGUCGUCUGCCGUGGGAGCAGAAGGAUCGAUUGUCACCGUUGCCGCGGAAAAGGGUCUCCGCGAAAAAGGUCUCUCUCUCUUUCUCUCUCGGUGGCAAACCCAGAUGGUUUGGUUAGAUAUCAGCUCAGGUUAUUGGUGAAAUCUCCUAACUUGUUGCAAGUACAUACCAUUGCGUUGAGUACCUAGCGGCUGGGAGCCGGCGGCUACGGCCAACCUCCCUCGGGUUUGUACAUUGGAUGUGUGUCGUCAUGUGAAGGCCGGUUCUGAUGACAGAAUCUAUAGGACCAAUUCAUACAUGUUUGUGCCGUAGGCAAAGGCGUAACCUUAAAAAGGAAAAAGAAGGAAAGAGAAAAGAGAGAAGCAUAAUGCAACAGCCAGAUUUCUUGUUUUAUCCCCUUCCUUCGGAUACCCACUUUAAUGUUUGAAUGAACAAUCAGCUGUUGUGUGAAAAACAUUCUAGUCUUGGUGGUUUGUUGCGGGAGCCUCUCUGCGUUCGUAGAUAGAGCCUUGAUCUAAAUCUAAUCUAUGCAGAGAGUCAAGAGUUUGCUGCAAUUAAUGACCGGAGUUGUAAAUGUUAUUGGGGGAUCGUUAGCUUUCUUUGAUGUCCUGAUCAGAAUAGAAAUGUUGUUUGUGAGAGAUCUGCACGUGCAACACUGUUGCAAGUGUCUGCUUAUGGAUAUCUCGUGGGGAUGAACUUGAUUAGUUUCCAAAUGUGAGGGCAUAGAUUGACCUUAUCCAUUGUUCUUGCAAGAGAGAUUCUAUAUAGUUCUCUCUUUUCGGUACUGGCAGCUGUUAAAUUCAGGCUUGCCCUAUCUAAGAUGGGAGGAAAUAUCUCUCUAGGUGGAUAGUGAGGAAUUGAAAAGCAUGAAGGCUACUGCUACCUAGUGAUUGAAGAGAUCCCAUUGCAUUACUAGUGAACCGGUGCAGACUUAUGAGUCAUGGACCACAAGUUAUGGUGGCUUGAUAAGAGGGCAAAGCUCCACAUAUGGUCAAGCGUUGAUAGUCUACUCUUUUCCAAGCAAAGAGACCACUAGGCUUAUGUUUUAUAGCUUCCAUCCACAUAAGAGUCUGUAUGAGUAGGUUUUGUUGUAAUUACGGUGGUCUUCUUCAAUGCUGCUUCUUGUUCCAUAACAAAACACACACUGCAUCGCCAUGACUUCCUUGGAAUUUCACCUUUUGUCCCCUUGCUUAUUUUGCAUCAUUUGGGUUUGUUGUGGGGUGUAAGGGGGUCGAGAAAAUUACAGUGGCAAGUGUGCUUUCAAUCAGAAUGAGAGCAUAGAUUCAUGGCAUUUCGGUAUUCUUUUG